UCUAAACAAUACACAGACAUGCAGUCAUACCUCAUGUUACAUUUGCUUCAUGUUACGUUUUUUCAGGUUGCGUCCCACAGUGACCCAGAAGUACCGGAAAGGGUUACUUCCGAGUUUCGCCGCUCACGCAUGCGCAGUAGCACUAAAUCGUGCUUCAUGCAUGCGCACAAGCACCAAAUUGUGCCGUGCACCUGCGCAGAUACGGCACUUCAGGUACCACUGUAUAUCAGAAAGCAUAACCUAUGUGUGUACUUACCUCUCUGGUUUUAAACAGCCAUUGAUGAAUUUGUGUGUGUAUGUUUUCUUUCCCAUAGGGAAAAAAUAUACAAUUGAAUAUAUGCAGUUUAACAUA